AAUUCUCAACCUUUCAAGCUUUUUGUUGAAGCUCUGUCAGGCUUGGAUUUUGGGAGUGUGCUGGUUCUAGAUAGUCAGCUCUCCUUAAAUGUAUUAGCAAGAUUAAUCGCUGAAUCACCUUUGAUAUGAUAAUUAUCUAUAUCAUUGAUGAAACCGGCGUUUUCCUCUCAAGGAAAGAUCUGGCUUCUAACUGUCCUCGAGACACUUAUUUCAAUC
rnacentral:misc_RNA from 1 species